GACGAACGCUGGCGGCGUGCUUAACACAUGCAAGUCGAACGGAAAGGCCCUGCUUUUGUGGGGUGCUCGAGUGGCGAACGGGUGAGUAACACGUGAGUAACCUGCCCUUGACUUUGGGAUAACUUCAGGAAACUGGGGCUAAUACCGGAUAGGAGCUCCUGCUGCAUGGUGGGGGUUGGAAAGUUUCGGCGGUUGGGGAUGGACUCGCGGCUUAUCAGCUUGUUGGUGGGGUAGUGGCUUACCAAGGCUUUGACGGGUAGCCGGCCUGAGAGGGUGACCGGCCACAUUGGGACUGAGAUACGGCCCAGACUCCUACGGGAGGCAGCAGUGGGGAGUAUUGCACAAUGGGCGGAAGCCUGAUGCAGCAACGCCGCGUGCGGGAUGACGGCCUUCGGGUUGUAAACCGCUUUCGCCUGUGACGAAGCGUGAGUGACGGUAAUGGGUAAAGAAGCGCCGGCUAACUACGUG
rnacentral:rRNA from 1 species